rnacentral:misc_RNA from 1 species
GAUGAAGAACGCAGCAAAAUGCGAUAAGUAAUGUGAAUUGCAGAAUUCAGUGAAUCAUCGAAUCUUUGAACGCACAUUGCGCCCCUCGGUAUUCCGUGGGGCAUGCCUGUUCGAGCGUCAUUUACCCCUCAAGCACUGCUUGGUGUUGGGCGUCUGUCCCGCUUCGCGCGCGGACUCGCCCCAAAGGUAUUGGCAGCGGUCGUGCCAGCUUCUCGCGCAGCACAUUGCGCUUCUCGAGGCGGUCGAUCGGCGUCCACGAAGCUCACCUCCACCGUUUGACCUCGGAUCAGGUAGGGAUACCCGCUGAACUUAAGCAUAUCAAUAAGCGGAGGA